rnacentral:rRNA from 2 species
CCGGAUUUAUUGGGCGUAAAGCGAGCGCAGGCGGUUUUUUAAGUCUGAUGUGAAAGCCUUCGGCUUAACCCGGAGAAGUGCAUCGGAAACUGGGAGACUUGAGUGCAGAAGAGGACAGUGGAACUCCAUGUGUAGCGGUGGAAUGCGUAGAUAUAUGGAAGAACACCAGUGGCGAAGGCGGCUGUCUAGUCUGUAACUGACGCUGAGGCUCGAAAGCAUGGGUAGCGAACAGGAUUAGAUACCCUGGUAGUCCAUGCCGUAAACGAUGAGUGCUAAGUGUUGGAGGGUUUCCGCCCUUCAGUGCUGCAGCUAACGCAUUAAGCACUCCGCCUGGGGAGUACGACCGCAAGGUUGAAACUCAAAGGAAUUGACGGGGGCCCGCACAAGCGGUGGAGCAUGUGGUUUAAUUCGAAGCUACGCGAAGAACCUUACCAGGUCUUGACAUCUUCUGCCAAUCUUAGAGAUAAGACGUUCCCUUCGGGGACAGAAUGACAGGUGGUGCAUGGUUGUCGUCAGCUCGUGUCGUGAGAUGUUGGGUUAAGUCCCGCAACGAGCGCAACCCUUAUUAUCAGUUGCCAGCAUUCAGUUGGGCACUCUGGUGAGACUGCCGGUGACAAACCGGAGGAAGGUGGGGAUGACGUCAAAUCAUCAUGCCCCUUAUGACCUGGGCUACACACGUGCUACAAUGGACGGUACAACGAGUUGCGAAGUCGUGAGGCUAAGCUAAUCUCUUAAAGCCGUUCUCAGUUCGGAUUGUAGGCUGCAACUCGCCUACAUGAAGUUGGAAUCGCUAGUAAUCGCGGAUCAGCAUGCCGCGGUGAAUACGUUCCCGGGCCUUGUACAC